AUUGAACGCUGGCGGCAGGCCUAACACAUGCAAGUCGAGCGGAAGGUUCUUCGGAACCGAGAGCGGCGGACGGGUGAGGAAAGCGUGGGAAUCUGCCUGUAGAUGGGGGAUAGCCCGGAGAAAUCCGGAUUAAUACCGCAUAAUACCUGAGGGUUAAAGUGGAGGAUCGCAAGACUUCACGUCUACAGAUGAGCCCACGUCAGAUUAGCUAGUUGGUAGGGUAAAGGCCUACCAAGGCGACGAUCUGUAGCUGGCCUGAGAGGGUGAUCAGCCACACGGGCACUGAGACACGGGCCCGACUCCUACGGGAGGCAGCAGUAGGGAAUAUUGGACAAUGGACGCAAGUCUGAUCCAGCCAUCCCGCGUGAAGGAUUAAGGCCCUCUGGGUUGUAAACCGCUUUUGUCAGGGAAGAAACGGUUUGGGCUAAUACCUCGAACUAAUGACGGUACCUGAAGAAUAAGCACCGGCUAACUACGUGCCAGCAGCCGCGGU
rnacentral:rRNA from 1 species